UACGGGGGGGGCAAGCGUUGUUCGGAAUUACUGGGCGUAAAGGGCGCGUAGGCGGUUCGCUAAGUUGGAUGUGAAAACUCUGGGCUCAACCCAGAGCCUGCAUCCAAAACUGGCGGGCUAGAGUUCUGGAGGGGGUAGCGGAAUUCCUGGUGUAGCGGUGAAAUGCGUAGAUAUCAGGAGGAACACCAAUGGCGAAGGCAGCUCGCUGGGACGUGACUGACGCUGAGACGCGAAAGCGUGGGGAGCAAACAGG
rnacentral:rRNA from 1 species